UAGGAUUAUUGAAUAUUCUAACAUAUUGGAUUUUGACAACUUAUCAAACUUCUAUAAUUUGUCUUUAGGGGGCUAGUGGCGUUGGUGGUGCACCUUGCUAGCCAUGCUAAAGUAGUUGUAGUACUUAGUAGCUAAACAUAAAAAAGACUAAAUUGAAAGGAGGGGGAUAUAAUCAAUAAUCAUAUUUUGGGAAACGACAUGUUCAUUUACGACUUGACUUUUCAGAAUUGUUAUUGCAUUCGUGUUGGACAUGCAAUUGGGGUCAAUUGGAAAAAACCUCCAAUGUGGUGGUAGGGUAAGAUAAAGUCCAUUAACCUCUCUGCUUACAAUAUGGUGGUCAGGUAAGAUAAAGGCUGCGUAUGCGCGACCCCAUGCUGUAGGAUGACAGUGGUAAUUUGCAGAAGCAAAGUACUUGACGGAGAAGUAGUAAUUUUUGAAGAAACAUUUGAGCAGCUGAGUUUUUAUGAAGUUGAGACUAUGUAUUGGGUCAAUUUGCUUCUCAAUUAUCACAAAAUUCCUCUACUUCUAAAUUAUUGUCUGAAUCAAUCAACUUCUUCUGUAUCCUUAUAAUUAUUCUUUAGCAAGUCUGAACCUUGAGCCAGCUACAUGUUGAAAUUUAUUUUCCCAGAAGAGAAUUCAAAAUGUAAAUGUUGGGCACGGGCCAUACCUAUCUAGUAAAUAAAUAAGUGAUGAAUCGUUGAAUUUAAUAUCAAGAAGGAAGAUAUGUUUUAAUUUUUAAAGACAGAAUCAAAACAUAGCAUUUAUGUAUGCACCAAAACUACAAAAAGAAAAGGUCAUCAUGGCAUGUUAGGCAGUAGAGAGGAUCAGCUAAAUGAAGUAUUACAAGAUUAUAUAGAACAUUUGUUUUUAGAUGGUCAUGUCAUGAAACAGAGCAUGACCACAACUCCAGAUAAGCGUGACAAAUUUUAGCAACAUAAUGCAGAAAAAAGCAACAAGAAUAGAUUUUGAAAACAAGGCUAGUCAUUUAUUUAAAUUAGCCAACAUAAAAAAAAAUCAUUGCUAUAUACAUAUAUAUAUAUAUUGAAUACAACCUAAACAAAUUAGAAUAAGAAGUUAAACUCAUAAUCAUGAUUAAAAUCAAAAGGAACAUGUGUUAAGACAAUUCCAGAUAAAGCAAAUUGAAGUAGCAAAUAUAUAGAUAAGUGAAGUCAUAAAAAACAAAGCUUUUACAAAAAAUCGAUUCGAAAUAGAACAAGUUACUAUGGAGGAAAUGUUACCGGAAUGGAAGAGCGAUUCCAGAAUAAUAUCUUCUCUAUGUUUUUUUAUAUAUAAAUUCUCAUGGUGAGAAAGAAAAGAAGAGAGCUGCUUUAUAUAAAGGGUUCAAUUCAAACGGCUAGCCGUUCGAUCUUAAAUGUUUUUUCACAAGUGUCUGGAGCACUCGCAAUAGCCUCGCCCUCAAAAAGUCAUUUGCAUCAAAAUAUUUAAUUGCUGAUGUAUUACAUAAUCAUAAUUUUCUUUACAAAUUCAAAGGUAUUGUAUGAGAAUAUGUUCUUUUGCUUUCUGACCCAACCCGCUCAAUUAUCCCCCUAAUGUUCAUCUACUUCCUGAAAAUUUGAAUGUGAACAUGUUCUUUUGUUUGUUUAACUUGAUUGUUAAUAUUUUUUAAUAGUAUUAA